UNUGACUUGAGUGCAGAAGGGGAGAGUGGAAUUCCAUGUGUAGCAGUGAAAUGCGUAGAUAUAUGGAGGAACACCAGUGGCGAAAGCGGCUCUCUGGUCUGUCACUGACGCUGAGGCUCGAAAGCGUGGGUAGCGAACAGGAUUAGAUACCCUGGUAGUCCACGCCGUAAACGAUGAGUGCUAGGUGUUAGGCCCUUUCCGGGGCUUAGUGCCGGAGCUAACGCAAUAAGCACUCCGCCUGGGGAGUACGACCGCAAGGUUGAAACUCAAAGGAAUUGACGGGGGCCCGCACAAGCGGUGGAGCAUGUGGUUUAAUUCGAAGCAACGCGAAGAACCUUACCAGGUCUUGACAUCCCGAUGCUAUUCUUAGAGAUAGGAAGUUACUUCGGUACAUCGGAGACAGGUGGUGCAUGGUUGUCGUCAGCUCGUGUCGUGAGAUGUUGGGUUAAGUCCCGCAACGAGCGCAACCCUUAUUGUUAGUUGCCAUCAUUAAGUUGGGCACUCUAGCGAGACUGCCGGUAAUAAACCGGAGGAAGGUGGGGAUGACGUCAAAUCAUCAUGCCCCUUAUGACCUGGGCUACACACGUGCUACAAUGGUCGGUACAACGAGUUGCGAGCCGGUGACGGCAGGCUAAUCUCUGAAAGCCGAUCUCAGUUCGGAUUGGAGGCUGCAACUCGCCUCCAUGAAGUCGGAAUCGCUAGUAAUCGCGGAUCAGCACGCCGCGGUGAAUACGUUCCCGGGCCUUGUACACACCGCCCGUCACACCACGGAAGUCGUUCACACCCGAAGCCGGCGCAGCC
rnacentral:rRNA from 1 species